UGAGAUGAGCAUUGUCUAACGCACAGGUAGCCUUGCAGAAGUGAAUUCAAAAUCAUGUUCCCCUCUUGAAUAUUAGAUUCUGUUUUUCCUAAUAAGGCACUUGCCUAUGAUCUUCAGCCCCUCCUCUUUUGACAUUUCUAAGCCAGUUUCCUGAUGUUUAGCUUUCAGUAAAGAGGCCAUUAUUCCUGCAAUCUAUCAUUAUGAGGAGUGCUGCCUACUUCACAGAAGCUCUUGCUGCCUAACUGGAAUCACUCGAUGAUUUGGAUCAUUAAUAUAUUGCAAAAUGACAAUAAGAACUGAAGUGAGGGGGCAGGCAGACAUAGAGUGCUGAUGAAGAUGUAUCUGCUCUGCUGUCAAAAUUCCACUUACAAAUAUAGGAGCAACCAUUGGAUUUCUCUUAGCUAGAAGAGGACAGACUGCCAUUUUAAACUCAGUUACGCCAAAGAUCUAACAACUUAGUCCAAAAUAUGAAGCUUCUGAAAUGUAGAGGGUGUGACAGUGGAAGAUCUCUGAUCCAUCAUUGAAUUAUUUGAUCAACUUCAAUCAAGAGAAGCAAGCAAGAUUCACAAGAUGUUCCUUAGUAGGUUUGGCUGAGCGUCUGAAAAUACCUCUCCGUGCCACUAGAAGCGAUGGAGCACAGCUGCUCGCUUUUCACCUCCAAAACCUGUGGGUUUUGUUUGCAGCCCUACAUCAUAAGUACUUACAUUGGAGAACAUAACUGAAGAUGAGAGAUGAAUUUUGUAUAAAGGUAAAUAAGUAAAUAGACGAAAUAUUUAAAAACUUGCUACUUUAUUUUGUUGCGCAUGUACCUGUUUCAUUAUCCAUCGCAGCCAACUGGAACCUAUCCAUUGGCUUUAUCAGAUAUUGUGCUGAUU
rnacentral:lncRNA from 1 species